rnacentral:misc_RNA from 1 species
CAGAGUUCGUGCCCUCACGGGUAGAUCUCCCACCCUGUGUUAUUAUACCUUUGUUGCUUUGGCGGGCCGCCCUCGGCUACCGGCCCCGGCUGGUACGCGCCCGCCAGAGGACCUAAACUCUUGAAUAUUAAUGUCGUCUGAGUACUAUUAAAUUAUUA